rnacentral:rRNA from 1 species
UACGUAGGGUGCAAGUGUUGUCCGGAAUUAUUGGGCGUAAAGAGCUCGUAGGCGGUCUGUUGCGUCGGCUGUGAAAUCCCGAGGCUCAACCUCGGGUCUGCAGCCGAUACGGGCAGGCUAGAGUUCGGCAGGGGAGACUGGAAUUCCUGGUGUAGCGGUGGAAUGCGCAGAUAUCAGGAGGAACACCGGUGGCGAAGGCGGGUCUCUGGGCCGAUACUGGCGCUGAGGAGCGAAAGCGUGGGGAGCGAAC